GACGAACGCUGGCGGCGUGCUUAACACAUGCAAGUCGAACGGUGAAAGCGGAGCUUGCUCCGCUGGAUCAGUGGCGAACGGGUGAGUAACACGUGGGCAACCUGCCCCUCACUUCGGGAUAACUCCGGGAAACCGGGGCUAAUACCGGAUAUGACCUCCUUGGGCAUCCUUGGAGGUGGAAAGGUUUUCGGUGAGGGAUGGGCCCGCGGCCUAUCAGCUUGUUGGUGAGGUAGCGGCUCACCAAGGCGACGACGGGUAGCCGGCCUGAGAGGGCGACCGGCCACACUGGGACUGGGACACGGCCCAGACUCCUACGGGAGGCAGCAGUGGGGAAUAUUGCGCAAUGGGCGAAAGCCUGACGCAGCAACGCCGCGUGCGGGAUGACGGCCUUCGGGUUGUAAACCGCUUUCAGCAGGGAAGAAGCCGCAAGGUGACGGUACCUGCAGAAGAAGCACCGGCUAACUACGUGCCAGCCGCCGCGGUAA
rnacentral:rRNA from 1 species